rnacentral:rRNA from 1 species
GUGGGGAAUAUUGGACAAUGGGGGCAACCCUGAUCCAGCCAUGCCGCGUGUGUGAAGAAGGCCUUUUGGUUGUAAAGCACUUUAAGCGAGGAGGAGGAGCUCUAGAUUAAUACUUUAGAUGCUUGGACGUUACUCGCAGAAUAAGCACCGGCUAACUCUGUGCCAGCAGCCGCGGUAAUACAGAGGGUGCGAGCGUUAAUCGGAUUUACUGGGCGUAAAGCGUACGUAGGCGGCUUUUUAAGUCGGAUGUGAAAUCCCUGAGCUUAACUUAGGAAUUGCAUUCGAUACUGGGAAGCUAGAGUAUGGGAGAGGAUGGUAGAAUUCCAGGUGUAGCGGUGAAAUGCGUAGAGAUCUGGAGGAAUACCGAUGGCGAAGGCAGCCAUCUGGCCUAAUACUGACGCUGAGGUACGAAAGCAUGGGGAGCAAACAGGAUUAGAAACCCUGGUAGUCC